rnacentral:rRNA from 1 species
GUUGUAUGGUUAAGUGACUAAGCGUACAUGGUGGAUGCCUUGGCAGUCAGAGGCGAUGAAGGACGUACUAACCUGCGAUAAGCCGUGAGCAGUCGGUAAGAGACAUUACGACUCACGGAUUUCCGAAUGGGGAAACCCACUUAGCAUAAGCUAGGUAUCGCUACGUGAAUACAUAGCGUAGCGAGGCGAACCGGGAGAACU